rnacentral:rRNA from 1 species
GGGUUGUGAGGUUAAGCGACUAAGCGUACACGGUGGAUGCCCUGGCAGUCAGAGGCGAUGAAGGGCGUGCUAAUCUGCGAUAAGCGCCGGUAAGGUGAUAUGAACCGUUAUAACCGGCGAUACCCGAAUGGGGAAACCCAGUGUGACUCGUCACACUAUCAUUAACUGAAUCCAUAGGUUAAUGAGGCGAACCGGGGGAACUGAAACAUCUAAGUACCCCGAGGAAAAGAAAUCAACCGAGAUUCCCCCAGUAGCGGCGAGCGAACGGGGAGGAGCCCAGAGCCUGAAUCAGCAUGUGUGUUAGUGGAAGCGUCUGGAAAGGCGCGCGAUACAGGGUGACAGCCCCGUACACAAAAGCGCAUGUGCUGUGAGCUCGAUGAGUAGGGCGGGACACGUGGUAUCCUGUCUGAAUAUGGGGGGACCAUCCUCCAAGGCUAAAUACUCCUGACUGACCGAUAGUGAACCAGUACCGUGAGGGAAAGGCGAAAAGAACCCCGGCGAGGGGAGUGAAAAAGAACCUGAAACCGUGUACGUACAAGCAGUGGGAGCACCCUUUGGGUGUGACUGCGUACCUUUUGUAUAAUGGGUCAGCGACUUAUAUUCUGUAGCAAGGUUAACCGAAUAGGGGAGCCGGAGGGAAACCGAGUCUUAAUUGGGCGUUAAGUUGCAGGGUAUAGACCCGAAACCCGGUGAUCUAGCCAUGGGCAGGUUGAAGGUUGGGUAACACUAACUGGAGGACCGAACCGACUAAUGUUGAAAAAUUAGCGGAUGACCUGUGGCUGGGGGUGAAAGGCCAAUCAAACCGGGAGAUAGCUGGUUCUCCCCGAAAGCUAUUUAGGUAGCGCCUCGUGAAUUCAUCUCCGGGGGUAGAGCACUGUUUCGGCUAGGGGGCCAUCCCGGCUUACCAACCCGAUGCAAACUGCGAAUACCGGAGAAUGUUAUCACGGGAGACACACGGCGGGUGCUAACGUCCGUCGUGAAGAGGGAAACAACCCAGACCGCCAGCUAAGGUCCCAAAGUCAUGGUUAAGUGGGAAACGAUGUGGGAAGGCCCAGACAGCCAGGAUGUUGGCUUAGAAGCAGCCAUCAUUUAAAGAAAGCGUAAUAGCUCACUGGUCGAGUCGGCCUGCGCGGAAGAUGUAACGGGGCUAAACCAUGCACCGAAGCUGCGGCAGCGACACUGUGUGUUGUUGGGUAGGGGAGCGUUCUGUAAGCCUGUGAAGGUGUGUCGUGAGGCAUGCUGGAGGUAUCAGAAGUGCGAAUGCUGACAUAAGUAACGAUAAAGCGGGUGAAAAGCCCGCUCGCCGGAAGACCAAGGGUUCCUGUCCAACGUUAAUCGGGGCAGGGUGAGUCGACCCCUAAGGCGAGGCCGAAAGGCGUAGUCGAUGGGAAACGGGUUAAUAUUCCCGUACUUGGUGUUACUGCGAAGGGGGGACGGAGAAGGCUAUGUUGGCCGGGCGACGGUUGUCCCGGUUUAAGCGUGUAGGUGUGUGUUCCAGGUAAAUCCGGUUCACUUUAACACUGAGGCGUGACGACGAGGCACUACGGUGCUGAAGCAACAAAUGCCCUGCUUCCAGGAAAAGCCUCUAAGCAUCAGGUAACAUCAAAUCGUACCCCAAACCGACACAGGUGGUCAGGUAGAGAAUACCAAGGCGCUUGAGAGAACUCGGGUGAAGGAACUAGGCAAAAUGGUGCCGUAACUUCGGGAGAAGGCACGCUGACACGUAGGUGAAGUGAUUUACUCAUGGAGCUGAAGUCAGUCGAAGAUACCAGCUGGCUGCAACUGUUUAUUAAAAACACAGCACUGUGCAAACACGAAAGUGGACGUAUACGGUGUGACGCCUGCCCGGUGCCGGAAGGUUAAUUGAUGGGGUCAGCGCAAGCGAAGCUCCUGAUCGAAGCCCCGGUAAACGGCGGCCGUAACUAUAACGGUCCUAAGGUAGCGAAAUUCCUUGUCGGGUAAGUUCCGACCUGCACGAAUGGCGUAAUGAUGGCCAGGCUGUCUCCACCCGAGACUCAGUGAAAUUGAACUCGCUGUGAAGAUGCAGUGUACCCGCGGCAAGACGGAAAGACCCCGUGAACCUUUACUAUAGCUUGACACUGAACAUUGAGCCUUGAUGUGUAGGAUAGGUGGGAGGCUUUGAAGUGUGGACGCCAGUCUGCAUGGAGCCGACCUUGAAAUACCACCCUUUAAUGUUUGAUGUUCUAACGUGGACCCGUUACCCGGGUUGCGGACAGUGUCUGGUGGGUAGUUUGACUGGGGCGGUCUCCUCCUAAAGAGUAACGGAGGAGCACGAAGGUUGGCUAAUCCUGGUCGGACAUCAGGAGGUUAGUGCAAUGGCAUAAGCCAGCUUGACUGCGAGCGUGACGGCGCGAGCAGGUGCGAAAGCAGGUCAUAGUGAUCCGGUGGUUCUGAAUGGAAGGGCCAUCGCUCAACGGAUAAAAGGUACUCCGGGGAUAACAGGCUGAUACCGCCCAAGAGUUCAUAUCGACGGCGGUGUUUGGCACCUCGAUGUCGGCUCAUCACAUCCUGGGGCUGAAGUAGGUCCCAAGGGUAUGGCUGUUCGCCAUUUAAAGUGGUACGCGAGCUGGGUUUAGAACGUCGUGAGACAGUUCGGUCCCUAUCUGCCGUGGGCGCUGGAGAACUGAGGGGGGCUGCUCCUAGUACGAGAGGACCGGAGUGGACGCAUCACUGGUGUUCGGGUUGUCAUGCCAAUGGCACUGCCCGGUAGCUAAAUGCGGAAGAGAUAAGUGCUGAAAGCAUCUAAGCACGAAACUUGCCCCGAGAUGAGUUCUCCCUGAGACUUAAAGUCUCCUGAAGG